ensembl:lncRNA
GUUGCUAGGUAGUCAUGGUGGUUGCUAGGUAGUCAUGGUGGUUUCUAUGCUUGUCGCCAGGGCGUUGCUAGGUAGUCAUGGUGGUUGCUAGGUAGUCAUGGUGGUUGCUAUGCUUGUCGUUAGGGCGUUGCUAGGUAGUCAUGGUGGUUGCUAGGUAGUCAAACUGGUUCUUAGGUAGUCAUGGUGGUUGCUAGGUAGUCAUGGUGUUUGCUAUGCUUCUCGCUAGGGCGUUGCUAGGUAGUCAUGGUGGUUGCAAGGUAGUGUCGUGGAAAAUUCUAAAAGCUUCUCAAGAAACUUCUUAUGGCAAACAGGUGUGAAGAUACUGAACAGUUUAUUUCAGCGUAGUUACCUGCUGCUGAGCUGGUCCAUGGAACAUCUAAAAAAAACACUAAGCUUGAGGCAAGAGCCAUCAGGCAGACUAAUUGAGGACAAAGCCUCCCGAACUCCUUUUAUAGAUCUUACCCACAUCUUUUCUUCCUUGUACACCUGCCCUUGUUUACCCAAUCAGUUUGACCACAUUGAGACUCUUUGUUCUUUUUAACAGUU